AGAGUUUGAUCCUGGCUCAGAAUGAACNNGNCGGCGUGGCUAAGACAUGCAAGUCGAACGGAACGUAGCAAUACGUUUAGUGGCGGAAGGGUGAGUAAUACAUAGGUAACGUACCCUGGAGUCGGGAAUAACAGUGGGAAACUGCUGCUAAUACCCGAUGAAGUCCCGAGGGGGCAUCUUCUUGGGACCAAAGGAGCAAUUCGCUCUUGGAGCGGCCUAUGUCCUAUCAGCUAGUUGGUGAGGUAACGGCUCACCAAGGCAUUGACGGGUAGCCGGACUGAGAGGUCGGACGGCCACAUCGGGACUGAGACACUGCCCGGACACCUACGGGUGGCUGCAGUAACGAAUAUUGGGCAAUGGGCGCAAGCCUGACCCAGCGACGCCGUGUGCAGGACGGAGCCCUUCGGGGUGUAAACUGCUGUCAGGGAUUACCAACACAAUGAGGAGUCCCAAAGGAAGCCUCGACUAACUCUGUGCCAGCAGUCGCGGUAAUACAGAGGAGGCAAGCGUUAUUCGGAAUCAUUGGGCUUAAAGCGCGUGUAGGCGGCUACGUAAGUGUCCUGUGAAAUCUCAUGGCUCAACCAUGAAACGGCAGGGCAAACUGCGUGGCUUGAGGUCGGUAGGGGUGCUCGGAACUCUAGGUGGAGCGGUGAAAUGCGUAGAUAUCUAGAGGAACGCCAGAGGCGAAAGCGGAGCACUGGGCCGAUUCUGACGCUGAGACGCGAAAGCGUGGGGAGCAAACAGGAUUAGAUACCCCGGUAGU
rnacentral:rRNA from 1 species